GAUGAACGCUGGCGGCGUGCCUAAUACAUGCAAGUCGAGCGAACAGACGAGGAGCUUGCGCCUCUGACGUUAGCGGCGGACGGGUGAGUAACACGUGGAUAACCUACCUAUAAGACUGGGAUAACUUCGGGAAACCGGAGCUAAUACCGGAGAACAUGUUGAACCGCAUGGGUCAACAGUGAAAGACGGUCUUGCGGGCACUUAUAGAUGGAUCCGCGCCGCAUUAGCUAGUUGGUAAGGUAACGGCGUACCAAGGCAACGAUGCGUAGGCGACCUGAUAGGGUGAUCGCCCACCCUGGAGCUGAGACACCGUCAAGGGUCCUACGGGAGGCAGCAGUCGGCAAUGGUACGCAGUAGGCGAAAGCCUUACGGAGUAAGGCCGCGCGAGUGACGACGGUCUCCCGUUCGUAAUACCCUGUUUCUAGUGAAGAACAACUUUGUACGGUACUAUGCCCGUCUUGACGGUAACUAGUAAGAAAGCCCCGGCUAACUACGUG
rnacentral:rRNA from 1 species